UAUACGAAGAAUUUCCAUAACGCAUCUGUCGUAUGGGUGUGAAUCUGCGUCCCAAAUGCGCUCGUCAGACGAUGUAAACACGUGUAGCUGGUAUUCCCGAUGAUGGCGAUCUUUUGAUGAUUUAUCAGAGUAAUUUGAAAAGUGUCACACUGAUUUGAAAAAAAAUGCUGGAAGAAAAUCUGGUACCUGCUUUGUCUUGAGAUUUACAUAAAUGAUGUUCUUAUUGGUGAUCAUUUACCCGCACCCUUAUCCUGGUGUCAUAUACAAGAUGAAAUGAUGGAAAGAAAAACCUGAACUUUAGGAACAGGAAGACUGUGUUUUUGAAGAGAGAAGAGGACCAGAACUAAGAAGUCAUACAAUAAACACAUUGACAUCAUAAAAAGAAAUUGCAAUUUUGAGUUUGCAUGCAUAUGUCAGGUUUAAAUGUUGUCACAUAAUUUUUAUUCAGAAAGUCCCUUUAUCUUCUUGAAUUAAUAAAACAAAU